AAUCAUGGCUCAGGAUGAACGCUAGCUACAGGCUUAACACAUGCAAGUCGAGGGGCAGCAUUUCAGUUUGCUUGCAAACUGGAGAUGGCGACCGGCGCACGGGUGAGUAACACGUAUCCAACCUGCCGAUAACUCGGGGAUAGCCUUUCGAAAGAAAGAUUAAUACCCGAUGGUAUAACUUAGACCGCAUGGUCUUGUUAUUAAAGAAUUUCGGUUAUCGAUGGGGAUGCGUUCCAUUAGGCAGUUGG
rnacentral:rRNA from 1 species